rnacentral:misc_RNA from 1 species
AAAGUCGUAACAAGGUCUCCGUUGGUGAACCAGCGGAGGGAUCAUUACAGAGCGUAAAAACUCCCAAACCCACUGUGAACCUACCUACAACGUUGCCUCGGCGCGCUCCCCAGGGGCCGCGCCGGGGGACCCGAACUCUUGUUUCCAGCACAGGAUCUUCUGAGUGGCGUAAAGCAAAAAUAAGUUAAAACUUUCAACAACGGAUCUCUUGGCUCUG